rnacentral:RNase_P_RNA from 3 species
UCGUGCUCCCUGGUGAUCACGUUUUUUUCGCUUUGGCGGAAGAGAUGAGGAAAGUCCGAGCAACACAAGGCAGGAAAGUCGUUAACGACGACCGCCCUGCGACCUCAAAAACGCAGAGUAGGGAAAGUGCCACAGUGACGAACAAAGUGAAACGCCCCUUCUGGCCGUAUUAUCAUGGCUAUGGGGCGCCCCCUCGUGAGAGGGAUGGCGCGGUAAACCCUUUCUGUUGCAAGGUGGGAAUGGAGGCUGAGAAUCGGCGGCCUUGCGCCCUCAGUCGCCCACCGCACGAGCCCCGCAGCAAUGUUGGGCCCAGAGAAAUGAUCAUCACCCGCUUCGGCGGGGACAGAACUCGGCUUAUAAGGAGCGGCCAA